UAAGUUGUUCUUCUGUAAACGCAAAAAACAUAGUGGUUCUUCUGUAAACGCAAAAAACAUAGUGGCAAAUCACCUAAAGAACUUGGGAUUUCACCUUCAGGACUAUUAUAAGCAAGAUUUAAUGAUCUCAAUUCUUCCAAGUUACUCAAAUUAAAUGUAGACACGUGAUUUCGUCCUCUUAAAGUUCAAUUUUUAUUCACUUUUAUCCAUUUUUAUUUUAUCCUACCGUGUACCCUCGUCCAUGUUAUUAUACCCUCACAAAAUACAAAAAUAACAAACUCCCUAACAAAUUCUAUACUAUCCUAACCCCUACAUCUUAUCUUAACAACCUACCCAAUCAAAAUAAAACAUAUCACACCCUACCCCUGCCCCACGUGACCCCACCUACCCUACCUCACUACCCCACCCUCACCUCACAGCAUAUAUACCAGCACACACAUCACCAAUAAGGGGUCUUCUUCCAUUUUUGGACCCUCAAGAACAUCAUACACAGAUUCCAUGGAUAUACAUUAAAGAAAAAAAGAAUACCAAGAACCGGAUUAUGAUUUUCUUAGUUUCUUCCUCAAAAUAACAGAGGGUCCAUUUUUUUUCUUUCACAAAACUCACACCCACACCAUACACACCGACAUCACCAAAAAUCUGACAUACACACCCGAAAACUCACGCGCACACACACAGUGAAUGAAAAGAUGGUUCGAGAGAGAUCGAAGAUCGGAGAUCGGAUAAGGGAGAUUCGAGAGAGAGUAGAGAAAAACAAAGGGGGAUCGAAGUUUGUCGGAGCUCGCCGGAGCAUCAAGGAUACAAAAACAAUUAACCGAAUUCUGCUUCAUCUCUGAUUCCGUCCAAAUUCACCAGAAUCCGACCGACCACCACUGGUUUCACUCAAUUUUCUGACCAAAUCGCAUUCAACAACCAUUCCCGUCCCCUUUCUGGCGAAUAUUCAUCAGAUCGGAAUUUGUCGGAGCUUACCGGAGCAUCAAGGAUACGAAAACAAUUAACCAAACUCUGCUUCACCUCUGAUUCCGUCCAAAUCCACCAGAAUCCGACCGACCACCACUGGUUUCACUCAAUUUUCUGACCAAAUCGCAUUCAACAACCAUUCCCGUCCCCUUUCCGGCGAAUAUUCAUCGAAAUUCAUCGAAAAAUGAUAUGGGAUGAAUUUGGGUCUUCAUAAUUUCGUGUUUUCUAAUCUUUGGGGCGAGAAACAGUAAUGGGUCUAUGUUGAAGUUGGUUUGUGCGACAUUGAGGUUCCAUUUGGGGUCGAAUUUCUGUUAGUUCGUGGUUCCGAAGCCGUGAGGCUUUUCUCUAUUUAAUAAAGCAUCAAUUUGAGGUCCAAUCUUUAACUCUUAUCUUUUUUCCAUUUUUUAUCGUAAUACGAUGUUUUUGAUAUUGUGAUUUGUGUGGUUCGUAUUGAUUGUUGAUAUAAUCCCGAUAGUGUGUUUGACAUUCUUUCAUUGUCAUUGGUUAAUGUUACUUUGAAAUCGAUUAAUCGUUUGGUUUGGUUGAGAAAUGAAUUCUGGG
rnacentral:lncRNA from 1 species